rnacentral:lncRNA from 1 species
UUCUUAUUUGUCAUUCUCGGCUGACUGGAGGAUUCUCAUAGCACUCGGACCUCUUCUCAACAGGAUGCGAAGAGGAAAUUCUCAAUUCUUAUUCUCGUGGUAAAGGUAGUCUUGUGUAGAGACUUUCCAAGACAUGAUGAGGAAAUAGAGCGCUUCUCUUCCCUGAAAGCCCCAGGACCUUUUUUGAGCAGGAGAUCCGAUACCCGUGAGUUGCAUUCUCCAUUUGAGCAGGCAUGGACGAUCGAGGGGAGGGGAAGAGAACGAGAGCUAGAUCCCGCCCGAAUUCUGCUGCACAAGAAAGAAGAUUGUGGUGAAGCGAUGGAAGUGGUCUCACAAACCUGUUUAUGCCAUCUUCAGUCGCCGCAGGUACCAGUGAACAAACGACCCCAUCCCAGUCUCAAAAGGUAC